AUGCUCAAAAUUCUCCAAGCCAGGCUUCAGCAAUACGUGAACCAUGAACUUCCAGAUGUUCAAGCUGGUUUUAGAAAAGGCAGAGGAACCAGAGAUCAAAUUGCCAACAUCCACUGGAUCAUCACAAAAGCAAGAGAGUUCCAGAAAAACAUCUAUUUCUGCUUUAUUGACUAUGCCAAAGCCUUUGACUGUGUGGAUCACAAGAAACUGUGGAAAAUUCUGAAAGAGAUGGGAAUCCCAGACCACUUGACCUGCCUCUUGAGAAACCUAUAUGCAGGUCAGGAAGCAACAGUUAGAACUGGACAUGGAACAACAGACUGGUUUCAAAUGGGAAAAGGAGUACGUCAAGGUUGUAUGUUGUCACCCUGCUUAUGUAACUUCUAUGCAGAGUCCAUCAUGAGAAACGCUGGGCUGGAAGAAGCACAAGCUGGAAUCAAGAUUGCCGGGAGAAAUAUCAAUAACCUCAGAUAUGCAGAUGACACCACCCUUAUGGCAGAAAGUGAAGAGGAACUAAAAAGCCUCUUGAUGAAAGUGAAAGAGGAGAGUGAAAAAGUUGGCUUAAAGCUCAACAUUCAGAAAACGAAGAUCAUGGCAUCUGGUCCCAUCACUUCUUUGGAAAUAAAUGGGGAAACAGUGGAAACAGUGUCAGACUUUAUUUUUUUGGGCUCCAGAAUCACUGCAGAUGGUGACUGCAGCCAUGAAAUUAAAAGAGGCUUACUCCUUUGGAGAAAAGUUAUGACCAAGCUAGAUAGCAUAUUCAAAAGCAGAGACAUUACUUUGCUGACUAAGGUCCGUCUAGUCAAGGCUAUGGUUUUUCCUGUGGUCAUGUAUGGAUGUGAGAGUUGGACUGUGAAGAAAGCUGAGCACCAAAGAAUUGAUGCUUUUGAACUGUGGUGUUGGAGAAGACUCUUGAGAGUCCCUUGGACUGCAAGGAGGUCCAACCAGUCCAUUCUGAAGGAGAACAACCCUGGGAUUUCUUUGGAAGGAAUGAUGCUAAAGCUGAAACUCCAGUACUUUGGCCACCUCAUGGGAAGAGUCAACUCAUUGGAAAAGACUCUGAUGCUUGGAGGGAUUGGGGGCAGGAGCAGAAGGGGACAACAGAGGAUGAGAUGGCUGGAUGGCAUCACUGAUUCGAUGGACGUGAGUCUGAGUGAACUCCGGGAGUUGGUGAUGGACAGGGAGGCCUGGCAUGCUGCGAUUCAUGGAGUUGCAGAGAGCCGGACACGACUGAGUGACUGA
rnacentral:lncRNA from 1 species